rnacentral:tRNA from 1 species
UCCCAGGUGGCUCAGCUGGUAAAGAAUCUGCCUGCAAUGCAGGAGACCUGGGUUCAACCCCUGGGUUGGGAA